rnacentral:lncRNA from 1 species
UGACUUAGCAGUGCAGCACAAAAUGCAGAUAAUGCCUUACAGAUGUGUAGCGGGUACCGCGAUUCUCUGAAGGAUGACGAAAAAUGACAUAGUUGGAACUUCGCUACUUCAGAAAAAUUGCGAUCAUUUAUGACGUAGUGGGUACCUUGCAUAUAUACAUGUAUUAGUUGCCUCAAGAUGCUCUACAAAGUCCGCUCUUCCAGUUUUUGGUGUGACUGUGCUGCGUGUUCCACGCAGGCCUGC